rnacentral:rRNA from 1 species
AUUGAACGCUGGCGGCAUGCCUUACACAUGCAAGUCGAACGGUAACAGGUCUUCGGAUGCUGACGAGUGGCGAACGGGUGAGUAAUACAUCGGAACGUGCCUAGUAGUGGGGGAUAACUACUCGAAAGAGUGGCUAAUACCGCACGAGAUCUACGGAUGAAAGCAGGGGAUCGCAAGACCUUGUGCUACUAGAGCGGCCGAUGGCAGAUUAGGUAGUUGGUGGGAUAAAAGCUUACCAAGCCGACGAUCUGUAGCUGGUCUGAGAGGACGAUCAGCCACACUGGGACUGAGAAACGGCCCAGACUCCUACGGGAGGCAGCAGUGGGGAAUUUUGGACAAUGGGCGCAAGCCUGAUCCAGCGAUGCCGCGUGCAGGAUGAAGGCCUUCGGGUUGUAAACUGCUUUUGUACGGAACGAAAAGCCCCGGGUUAAUACCCUGGGGUCAUGACGGUACCGUAAGAAUAAGCACCGGCUAACUACGUGCCAGCCGCCGCCGUAA